rnacentral:RNase_P_RNA from 1 species
CGAGCCGACCGGGCGGCCGCGGUACCUUGGUCGCCGUAAUGGCGGUCAGGGGCUGAGGAACGUCCGGGCUCCACAGAGCAGGGCGGUGGCUAACGGCCACCCGGGGUGACCCGCGGGACAGUGCCACAGAGAGCAGACCGCCCGUCGAUUCCGGCGGGUAAGGGUGAAAGGGUGGGGUAAGAGCCCACCAGCGCGACGGGUGACCGCCGCGGCUCGGUAAACCCCGCCCGGAGCAAGACCGCACAGCUGGCGCCUGAAGGCUGCUCGCCCGAGUCAGCGGGUAGGUCGCAUGAGGCCAUUGGUGACAAUGGUCCAAGAUGAAUGGUCGCCACCGUCAGGCCGGUAACGGCCGGCGGCAACAGAACCCGGCGUACAGGUCGGCUCGUCCC